AUUGAACGCUGGCGGCAUGCCUUACACAUGCAAGUCGAACGGCAGCACGGGAGCAAUCCUGGUGGCGAGUGGCGAACGGGUGAGUAAUAUAUCGGAACGUGCCCGGUCGUGGGGGAUAACGUAGCGAAAGCUACGCUAAUACCGCAUACGAUCUACGGAUGAAAGCGGGGGGAUCGCAAGACCUCGCGCGAUUGGAGCGGCCGAUAUCAGAUUAGGUAGUUGGUGAGGUAAAGGCUCACCAAGCCGACGAUCUGUAGCUGGUCUGAGAGGACGACCAGCCACACUGGGACUGAGACACGGCCCAGACUCCUACGGGAGGCAGCAGUGGGGAAUAUUGGACAAUGGGCGAAAGCCUGAUCCAGCAAUGCCGCGUGAGUGAUGAAGGCCUCGGUGUAAG
rnacentral:rRNA from 1 species